UACAGCGGUCCCAAGCGUUGUUCGGAUUCACUGGGCGUAAAGGGCUCGUAGGUGGCCAACUAAGUCAGACGUGAAAUCCCUCGGCUUAACCGGGGAACUGCGUCUGAUACUGGAUGGCUUGAGUUUGGGAGAGGGACGCGGAAUUCCAGGUGUAGCGGUGAAAUGCGUAGAUAUCUGGAGGAACACCGGUGGCGAAGGCGGCGUCCUGGACCAACACUGACACUGAUGAGCGAAAGCCAGGGGAGCAAACGGG
rnacentral:rRNA from 1 species